rnacentral:rRNA from 1 species
GUCGGGAAUAUUGCGCAAUGGAGGAAACUCUGACGCAGUGACGCCGCGUAUAGGAAGAAGGUUUUAGGAUUGUAAACUAUUUUAGACAGGGAAGAAAAAUGACAGUACCUGUAGAAUAAGCUCCGGCUAACUACGUGCCAGCAGCCGCGGUAAUACGUAGGGAGCAAGCGUUAUCCGGAAUUAUUGGGUGUAAAGGGUGCGUAGACGGGAAUACAAGUUGGUUGUGAAAUCCCUCGGCUUAACUGAGGAACUGCAACCAAAACUAUAUUUCUUGAGUGCAGGAGAGGAAAGCGGAAUUCCUAGUGUAGCGGUGAAAUGCGUAGAUAUUAGGAGGAACACCAGUGGCGAAGGCGGCUUUCUGGACUGUAACUGACGUUGAGGCACGAAAGUGUGGGGAGCAAACAGG